AUUUUAGUAUAAAUAUGUCCCACGCAAUAUUUAGAAUAUACUUAUGCUAAAA
rnacentral:pre_miRNA from 1 species